GAUGAACGCUGGCGGCGUGCCUAAUACAUGCAAGUCGAGCGAACGGACGAGAAGCUUGCUUCUCUGAUGUUAGCGGCGGACGGGUGAGUAACACGUGGAUAACCUACCUAUAAGACUGGGAUAACUUCGGGAAACCGGAGCUAAUACCGGAUAAUAUUUUGAACCGCAUGGUUCAAAAGUGAAAGACGGUCUUGCUGUCACUUAUAGAUGGAUCCGCGCUGCAUUAGCUAGUUGGUAAGGUAACGGCUUACCAAGGCAACGAUGCAUAGCCGACCUGAGAGGGUGAUCGGCCACACUGGAACUGAGACACGGUCCAGACUCCUACGGGAGGCAGCAGUAGGGAAUCUUCCGCAAUGGGCGAAAGCCUGACGGAGCAACGCCGCGUGGGUGAUGAAGGUCUUCGGAUCGUAAAACUCUGUUAUUAGGGAAGAACAUAUGUGUAAGUAACUGUGCACAUCUUGACGGUACCUAAUCAGAAAGCCACGGCUAACUACGUGCCAGCAGCCGCGGUAAUACGUAGGUGGCAAGCGUUAUCCGGAAUUAUUGGGCGUAAAGCGCGCGUAGGCGGUUUUUUAAGUCUGAUGUGAAAGCCCACGGCUCAACCGUGGAGGGUCAUUGGAAACUGGAAAACUUGAGUGCAGAAGAGGAAAGUGGAAUUCCAUGUGUAGCGGUGAAAUGCGCAGAGAUAUGGAGGAACACCAGUGGCGAAGGCGACUUUCUGGUCUGUAACUGACGCUGAUGUGCGAAAGCGUGGGGAUCAAACAGG
rnacentral:rRNA from 1 species